rnacentral:rRNA from 1 species
UGUUAGCUUGCUAACAGGCGUCGAGUGGCGGACGGGUGAGUAACGCGUAGGAAUCUACCAAAUAGCGGGGACAGCCCGGAGAAAUCCGGAUUAAUACCGCAUAAUCUCUACGGAGUAAAGGGGGCCUCUAUUUAUAAGCUUUUCACUAUUUGAUGAGCCUGCGUAAGAUUAGCUUGUUGGUGAGGUAAAAAGCUCAUCAAGGCGACGAUCCUUAGCUGGUCUGAGAGGAUGAUCAGCCACACUGGGACUGAGACACGGCCCCAGACUCC